GCAAGUGUGGCGUAGUGGUUUUGAGUACUGGACUACGGCUCUGGAGAUCAGGGUUCAAUUCCCAGCUCAGACA